rnacentral:rRNA from 1 species
UACAGAGGGUGCGAGCGUUACUCGGAAUUACUGGGCGUAAAGCGCGCGUAGGCGGCUUUGCAAGUCGGGUGUGAAAUCCCCAGGCUUAACCUGGGAACUGCAUUCGAGACUGCAUUGCUAGAGUAUGGGAGAGGGAAGUGGAAUUUCCGGUGUAGCGGUGAAAUGCGUAGAUAUCGGAAGGAACAUCAGUGGCGAAAGCGGCUUCCUGGACCAGCACCGACGUUCAGGCACGAAAGCGUGGGGAGCAAACAGG